rnacentral:rRNA from 1 species
UACGUAGGGUGCAAGCGUUAAUCGGAAUUACUGGGCGUAAAGCGUGCGCAGGCGGUUAUGCAAGACAGAUGGGAAAUCCCCGGGCUCAACCUGGGAACUGCAUUUGUGACUGCAUAGCUAGAGUACGGUAGAGGGGGAUGGAAUUCCGCGUGUAGCAGUGAAAUGCGUAGAUAUGCGGAGGAACACCGAUGGCGAAGGCAAUCCCCUGGACCUGUACUGACGCUCAUGCUCGAAAGCGUGGGGAGCAAACAGG